UUCAUUGAACAAGAUGCGUGAUGGGAUGAAAUGUCUAAAAACGAUGGGUCUGGGGAAUCCAACAUGAAGAUAAGCAAGUGCAUGAGCAAUAUCAAUCGCCAUCUUUAACCUAUGUUUCAAUCGUAAUGGUUCAAAUUGAGGUCGAGGUUGAGGAUCGCGGUAGUGACUAAUACGCUCAGGAAGAGUUCUGUACUCUCCAUAUUCAAAAACUAGAAUGGGAAUUGGAGUCUCUAAGCAGCAUCCAAUUAGCUUUAAAAUAUGCUUGUGAUCCAUUUGUGCUGCAUAUACUAUGUUAUUAAUACUAUACUUAUAAACGCUAUCAGGAAGGGAUUCAUCAAACUUCAAAACAGAAAUUAGCCGCUCCUGCCAAAAGCCCUUGUACAAUUUAGUUAUGUAAAAGUCGCAUUGUUUUAUAACUUCUCUCUCGUCAUAGUUGUUAGUUGCAAUCUCGAGUUCUUUAGCAGAAAAGAUACGAUAAGGGUUGUAUUUACCAUGAGAAGACGCGAUCAACUCUUUUAGUACUCUCGCGCCAUUCCUCACCAUCAAUGUUCUUUUAUCAGUCCUGUCCUUGAAUUUUCUGAUAAUCGAACACAUCUACAAGUAGAAACCAAUUCAAAUAUUGCAAUCAGUUCGUUUUAUUUGUAUAUAUACAUACUAUUUCAUUCAUAAAUAUAUAGCAGUAAAAUUUAUCAAAAAAAAAAAAACCAAAAGCUGCUGAACGCUGAUGAUAAGGAGAGGAGUACCUGUGGCUGUGGACGUACAGCAAAUUGAUUAAUUAAGAAAACGCGGUGCUCGAUCUUGAUCUUGAUCUUUACUACUGCAUGUCAAAGUAAAGACUUUAGCAGCCAUGGUUGAACAUGACCAAAUUUGUUGAUCAAAUUUGGUGGGUAAGCCACCAAAUUUUAUCAAACUUGAAGACUGUUAGGCAAGUUUUUUGCAUAUAAAUAGGAGAUGCCCUUCCUUCAUUUUGAUAAUCCCAGAGAGAAACAUUCAAAGUUGUAAAAUCUAAUGCAAGUUAAGCAUUAAGUGAGUAUUAUGAAAUUUUAGUAUUUUGGGUGUAUCUGGGGCUUGGGUGGGAGAAAUUAUUUAUGAGAGUGUGGUUGUAAUAAUUUUCCACAUAGUGAAUAUUUUUUCUCUGGUUGUCUUGUGACAACGGCCGUGGUUUUUCUCCGGAUUUGGAGUUUUCCACGUAAAUCUUGUGUUGUGUGAUUGGUAUAUUUUCUAUUUAAUUUUUUUAAUUAAUUUGUUGCUUGAUAAAUUACUUGGAGAGAUCUUGGAAGGAAACUCAAUUUCCUAACACUGCAGGAGUUGGCUCAGAUUCUGAUGUUGAUUCAUUUGAGUCAUCUCAAUAAAGUAUGAAGGGUUUUUUUUCUAACGCUCAAUUUAAUUUGGACUAUGUGAAAAUGCAACAAGUCUUCCUCUAGUCAACCAAGGAUACUCAACGAAUGAGGGUAAGAAUAGUCCACAUGGCUAAGCGUGGAAUAAUUCUUUUAUAAUGAUUUCUAUUUUUUGAGAAAUUUUAUGACAGAUGAAAUCUCCAAUUAAUAACCAUUGACGUAUCUUAAAUUUUGUCUUGAAAUUUAUCAAAUAUCUUUUCUUCCACAUUUUAUCCUCUUGCAUUUUCAAAUUUUUUUGUUUCCGUGGUUCUCUUUCCUCCCUCUUCAAUUCCCAAAUUUCAAAAGAAAGAGGAUUAAACAUUAAUUAUAUUUCGCCCAGAUUACAUUGGCACCAAAUUUCUCUUAAUUCUCUUCCCUCUUUUCUCUGCUUUGUUCAAUAAUUUAGUCAUUUUAUUUCAUAUAUUUUGUGUAUAUUUGUAGCGAAGCUUGAUUUGAUCUUCAUCUUUAUGUUGAUUAAAUUGAGACACAGCUAUCUAGCUCUCCUAGUUGGCGUUUUAUACAUGUAUCUGAACGAGUAUAAAGUUUCUCCAAUUAAUUCCUUCUUUUUCAGUGCCUUUUCUUUUCUUCUUUUCUUCUUUUUAGGCUUUUUACUUUGUGGGCCACCAAUUUUUUCUUCACUUUCGUACCUUUGCGGUUCUCAUUGUUAAAAAUAAAAUGUUUCAUCAUUACACUUUCUAGUUUCUACUCAGUCAAUUAUUGAGAGAUCAGAGUUAAGAUUUUUUUUUUUUCAAUUAUCAUUUUACGAUAUGCUUUUUAAAAUUAUUUAUCUCAUGAUAUGACUAUCCCUGUAUCCCGUCUGUCAUCUCAAUAUAAAUUCAUAAAUUAGUGAUAUUUAUAAUUAGAAAGAAGUUUAUUCCUAUUGUAUACAUAGAAACUUGAACUUGUAUGACGCUUAUAAGGAGAAGAAUGAUUUACCAUCUGACUUAUGAGAGAAAGUUCUCGCCUAAGGAGCUAUCAGUAGUUGAACAAGAUAUAUACAAAAAUAUUUAUACUUCUGUAAAAGCUUGCAUUUACUGUUGUGGCUAUGAAAACCUGAAGACAUGAUAUCUCAGCAAGAAUACAUGAAUUGACAACAAAACAUAUUCUAAGACUGUUUUUAUUGUGAGUAUAAAAUAACUCACCAUCCAAAACGAUAUGCUUGUCUGAGCUGUUUUGCUACAUCAAUCAUCGUUGGUCAGAUACACAUUUCACGGCAAGCUCUACAGAAGCUUGCACUUGCUUAUCUUUUUCAGAAGAUUGAAUUGAAAGUUCCCCACAAAUACGGGAUCAACGAUCUCAUCAAACGUGUUACAUUCAAUAUGUUUCUUCACACGAUUCUAUAACCAAUGACGAUCUCCAGCUUCAUCAAUGGAAUACAGUUUUUGGCAGGUCAAAAGCACAAGCAGCAACACACCAAAACUGAAAAUGUCGCAUUUCUCAUUGUAGUCACCUGAAGUUGCGUUUGGAAAUGAGAUUGGGCAGCUACAGCUUAAAAGCUACAUCACUAAAGUAUUUGGUAAACACUAACUGCUGUAACUUGAAAAUUAUAUUGACAUGAUUUUUUACUUGUAUCAUCAAAAAUUUAUUAUAUCUUUAAUAAUUUUAUCAAAAUUAUUAUUUAAAUUUUAUAUUUAUUAUAUAUUAUUAAUUUUUGUUUUAUAGUUACAUCUUUUUUUCCGCAACAGCUGUAUUUUAAAAAUUACAACACCUCAAUCCCAGACAUGACCAUACUUAGUGGCAACGAAUCCCAUUAUUCCUAUUGGUAUUGCAUCUUUUAUGUGAGUUUCGCCAUCUGGAAUAGACUCGGCUAGUGAAAAAUCAAACAAUUUGGCAACAUGAUCUUCAUCAAAUAAGAUACUCGAUAAUUUGAUGUUUUUGAAAACAGUAGGCCGAGGAAAUCCAACAUGAGGAUAUGCAAGAGCAUUAGCUAUCUCCAUCGCAAUCUUUAACCUAUGUGUCAAUAGAUAAGGCUCGAAAUGUGACGGACGAGGACCAUGAAUAUAAUUAGCAAGGAUUCCAGAUGACACAGAUUCAAAAACUAGAACAGGAAUUUGAGUCUCUAAGCAACAUCCAAUCAACAUUAAGAUAUUGCUGUGGCUCAUUUGUGAUGCAAAUACAAUGUUCUUCAAGCACCAUUCAUAUGCAUCAUACUUGUCAUUGUUUUGAAACUUCAUAACAGACACUGGAAAAAUUGAUUUCUUCAUUUAAUGGUAAACGCAAACCUAUCCUAAGCUUCUCUGCUGAAGAGCUCAAGAUAGCUACAAACAAUUAUGACUUGCAAAGAGUUAAAACACAAGGUAUCUCGUUCUUUUGGGAUUGUAUAAUUUUGUUAUAUUAUUCUUUUGGAAUUAAGAAUAAACUGAGAUAUUAAUAUUAGUUAUAAUAUUAUCUUUUGAGACUCUGGAGAUAUAAACUCAGCAUUUUGGUUGAGAAUGUUGAUCACUGGAGUUUGUUAUAUAUUGAAUUAUUUUGGGAGUGUUUGUUUUACGUAUUUGUAGAUUGGGAGUGUUAUAUUUAUAAAGGAGAAUCUGCCGAAUUUUCGAUAGAAUAUUUACUAAUAGAAUUAUUAUCAAGUCCGUUUUGAUGAGACUAAAUUAACUCGCUCAGGGGGAUUCGGGGCGGGUCAUUUCAGAGGAUUAAACAGUAAAUAUAUUUCGCCCAGAUUACAUUAGCACCUAAUUUCUCUGCUUUGCUCAAUAAUUUAGUCAUUUUAUUUAAUAUAUUUUGUGUAUAUUUGUAGCGAUGCUUGAUUUGAUCUUGAUCUUUAUGUUGAUUAAAUUGAGACACAGUUAUCUAGCUCUCCUAGUUGGCCUUUUACACAUGUAUCUGAACGAGUAUAAAGUUUGUCCAAUUAAUUCCUUCUUUUUCAGUGCCUUUUCUUUUCUUCUUUUCUUCUUUUUAGGCUUUUUACUUUGUGGGCCACCAAUUUUUUCUUCACUUUCGUACCUUUGCGGUUCUCAUUGUUAAAAAUAAAAUGUUUCAUCAUUACACUUUCUAGUUUCUACUCAGUCAAUUAUUGAGAGAUCAGAGUUAAGAUUUUUUUUUUUUUCAAUUAUCAUUUUACGAUAUGCUUUUUAAAAUUAUUACUCAUGAUAAGCCUAUCCCUGUAUCCCAUCUAUCAUCUCAAUAUAAAUUCAUAAAUUAGUGAUAUUUAUAAUUAGAAAGAAGUUUAUUCCUAUUGUAUACAUAGAAACUUGAACUUGUAUGACGCUUAGAAGGAGAAGAAUGAUUUAACGUCUGACUUAUGAGAGAAAGUUCUCGCCUAAGGAGCUAUCAGUAGUUGAACAAGAUACAAAAAUAUUUAUACUUCUGUAAAAGCUUGCAUUUACUGUUGUGGCUAUGAAAACAUGAAGACAUGAUAUCUCAACAAGAUACAUGAAUUGACAACAAAACAUAUUCUAAGAAUGUUUUUAUUGUGACUAUAAAAUAACUCACCAUCCAAAACGAUAUGCUUGUCUGAGCUGUUUUGCUACAUCAAUCAUCGUUGGUCUAUCCUCCGCUGAUUCAGAUACACAUUUCACGGCAAGCUCUACAAAAGCUUGCACUUGCUUAUCUUUUUCAGAAGAUUGAAUACAGAGUUCCUCACGAAUUACAGGAUCGACAAUCUCAUCAAACGUGUUACAUUCAAUAUGUUUCUUCACACGAUUCAAUAACCAAUGACGAUCUCCAGCUUCAUCAAUGGAAUACAAUUUUUGUCCAGUCAAAAGCACAAGCAGCAACACACCAAAACUGAAAACGUCGCAUUUCUCAUUGUAGUCACCUGUGGUUACAUACUCAGUCGCAACGAAUCCCAUUAUUCCUAUUGGUAUUGCAUCUUUUAUGUGAGUUUCGCCAUCUGGAAUAGACUCGGCUAGUGAAAAAUCAAACAAUUUGGCAACAUGAUCUUCAUCAAAUAAGAUACUCGAUAAUUUGAUGUUUUUGAAAACAGUAGGCCGAGGAAAUCCAACAUGAGGAUAUGCAAGAGCAUUAGCUAUCUCCAUCGCAAUCUUUAACCUAUGUGUCAAUAGAUAAGGCUCGAAAUGUGACGGACGAGGACCAUGAAUAUAAUUAGCAAGGAUUCCAGAUGACACAGAUUCAAAAACUAGAACAGGAAUUUGAGUCUCUAAGCAACAUCCAAUCAACAUUAAGAUAUUGCUGUGGCUCAUUUGUGAUGCAAAUACAAUGUUCUUCAAGCACCAUUCAUAUGCAUCAUACUUGUCAUUGUUUUGAAACUUCAUAACAGACACUGGGCGGCCAUGCAAGAAAGCAGUGUACAGUUGAUAUACAAAGCCUUGUGUUUUAACUCUUUGCAAGUCAUAAUUGUUUGUAGCUAUCUUGAGCUCUUCAGCAGAGAAGCUUAGGAUAGGUUUGCGUUUACCAUUAAAUGAAGAAAUCAAUUUUUCCAGUAUUGGGCGGCCAUGCAAGAAAGCAUUGUACAGUUGAUAUACAAAGCCUUGUGUUUUAACUCUUUGCAAGUCAUAAUUGUUUGUAGCUAUCUUGAGCUCUUCAGCAGAGAAGCUUAGGAUAGGUUUGCGUUUACCAUUAAAUGAAGAAAUCAAAUUUUCCAGUAAAUUUUUGCCAUUCCUCAUAAUGCAUUUUUCCUUAUCUUCCUUCCCCGAAUUCUUGAUUGCUCCCAAACAUGAAUACAUGAUCUAUAGUUCCAAAAACCCAGGAAAUAAUUUCAAUUUAUUCAACAAUAAAAACAAAGGAUUUUAAGAACAUUAAAGGAUAUGUUACACAAAGGGAGAUUUUACAUGUACCUGUGGAUGGUCAAUUAGGAUUGAAGAUAAAGAAAACAGAGGAGCCCUACGCUUGAUCCCUGCAGCAGAAUAAAUAUAAGAAAAAAGUUUCCACUUCUGAGUAUGGAAGUAAUUUUGUCCAUGAAUUAUACAAUUAAAGUAAGAGACUCGAAUUUACAGAGUUGUGGCAUUCAUUCUUUUAUCCAAGAAAAUAAACAGGAAAGCUUGCAAGUGACAAACCAUCCAUCAACGAUUUUGGAUUCAAGCUUUCAACAAGACAGAUACAUUUGUCUAAGUUGUUUUGCCACAUCAAUCAUUGUUGGCCUUUCUUCUGGUGAUUCAGAGACACAUUUAAAGGCAAAAUCUAAAUAAGCCUACAGCAGUUGCUCUUUUAUUGGGCAUAAUCCCUCUUCAAUAAUCAUAGGAUCAACCAUUUCAUUCAACCCAUUUUCUUCAACAUAUUUCUUCAGAAGAUCCCAUAAGUAAUUUUCAACGCCAAGUCUUUUAUCGCGGCAGAAAGAAGUUAUCUUCUGCCCAGUCAAAAGAUCAAGUAGCAACAUACCAAAACUAUGAACAUCGUACUUCUCAUUGCACUUAGCUUCAAGCAAAACCUCAGGUGCAAUAUAUCCCCUUGUCCCAGCUAUUUGAACAUCUACAUGAGUUUCUCCUUCUGGAAUAGACACAGAUAGUGAAAAAUCAAACAGUUUGGCAACAUUUUGCUCAUCAAAGAAUAUUCUCCAUGGCGUCGCACUCAUAAAAAUGAUGGGUCUGGCAAAUCCUGCGUGGAGAUAUGCAACUGCAUUGGCUAAUUCCAUUGCAACCUUCAACCUAUUUCUGAAUGGUAGAGGCUCAAAAUUAUGUCUACGGCGCCUAUAUAUGCGAUCGGCAAGGGUACCGAGCUCAAUGGAUUCAAAAACUAGAAUAGGAAUCUGAGUCUCCAAACAACAUCCGAUCAACUUCAAAAUAUUUUUGUGACUCAUUUGUGAUCCAAAUACUAUGUUAUUGAAACAAAACUUGUAUUGAUUAUCACUGUUGUAAUUCUCCCCAAACUUCAAAAUAGAAACUGCACGAGCAUUCAGGACACCUUUGUACAAUAUAUAGCCACUCUCUUGGAUUAUAAUUCUCUCUCUAUCGUAGUUGUUUGUAGCCGUUGUGAGCUCUUGGAAGGAGAAGUCACGAAUAGGAUUAUAGUUACCAUUAGAAGAGGCAAUCAAUUUUUCUAGUAAAACUUUGUUAUUCAUCGACUUAACAGUUGACUUGUCUGCCUUUCCCGAGGACUUGCUUUUUCCCAAACACAAACCCAUCUAAGAUCUAAGAUCUAAGUCUAAUCAAUAAAUUUGUACAGACACAUUAAAAUAAUUCCUCUCUCACUUCAUUAAACUGUACAUUGAACAAAUAUUCUGAGUGUUUAUUAACCAGACCACUAAAAGUAAUAGUAUUUUCAAGGGCGCAAUAUUCAUGCCAUUACGUGUAACCAAUGACAAAUAUUCUACUAAUAUUAAAUUUAAACGUGAAUAUCAUCAAAUUCUUUUUUUUUCUUUUUUGUGAUAAAUAGCUUUUAUUUAUAAAAAUGCUCACCUAAAAAUAUAUCUAGCAGUACUACUCAAUAACAUACACCAUUAUGUUAUAUAUAGUUUAAAGAAAUCUACUAGCGUCCCACCCAUGGGCGGACUCAGUACAUAAGGGGGCUCAAGAGGGACUUCAGAGACUUUUUUAGGCCAUUAUUUUUCUUUUAAAUAUAUCUCAUACCCUUUUUAAAAGAGUUAAAUAAAAAAAAUUUGAGCACAUUUUUUUAUGUAACAAAAUACUUAUAAUUUAGUGGCAAGAGUACUGUUUAGUGGUUUUUAUAGACUUGGUUCAAACUACAAUAGCCAUAUAAUUAUUUUAUGGAGAUUACUUAUAUAAGGAACUUUUAUAAAUGUGGUCAGUGGCCACAAUGAGCUUCAACAUUAAAAAUAAAUAAUUUAUUAUUAUUAUUUAAAAUGAAAAAGUAGAGUUUGAGUUUUGAGACUUUAAAAAAUAAGUACGCCAAAUUAAAUUAAAAUUUUUGAACUCACCUUCCAAAUUUAAGUUUCGGGGUACACCACUGUGUCCGCCGAGAUUGAAACUUAAAUACUAAAAGAAAUACAAUUGGGUUGAGUGAGGUUGACAAUAAAAUCCGAAUUUAAUAGCUUUUAUACACAUUACACACACUUCAACCAGUGGCUCAGUCGACGAUCGAAACUUCAUAGUAGUUGACUUCUCUAUUAGCUUAUUUUAAUUUCAGAAUGCGAAUAAACAAAACAGAGGAUCUCUCUACUCUGCCCCAGCAGCAGCGUGAACAAAGUGAUUUUGUGAUUAGAAAAAUAUUCAAUUUGCAAGUAAGUUUAAUAUUACAAAUUAAAUUUACUUGCAAAUUAAACAAGUUACAUUUUGUUUAUUCAAAUAACCGGGUUACAGUACUACUACUGGCAGGGGAAAAUGAAAACAUAGAAACAAUGAAUACAAAAGAUUAAUUACACUAAAUAGAGCAAUAAAUUUGUCUGAGUCUUUUUGUGACAUCAGCCAUUGUUGCCCUAUCUACCGCUGAUUCGUUGAGACAUUCAAGAGUGAGUCGUGCACAAGCUUGCAAUUGGUGCUCUUUCUCAGUGCAUGAUAGGUCUUGAACAAUUAUAGGAUCUGCUAUCUCAGUAAAUCUAUUAUUUUGAAGAUAGUAGUUCAAAUGUUCAAUGAGAUGACGGACCGAACCAUGUGUAUGAAGUAAAUCCAUGCUGCCCUGUCCAGUCAAUAGCUCCAACAGAACUGCACUGAAAGUAUAAACAUCAUACUUUUCAUUGAAAACACCUGUCCUCAUGUACUCAGGUACGUACUCAGGUACAUACUCAGGUGCACAAUAUCCCUGUGGUUGCAUCAGACAAUCAGUAAUGUGGGUUUCACCUUCGGGAAUGGAUAUGGAUAGUGAAAAAUCAAACAGUUUUGCAACAUUUUCUUCAUUGAACAAGAUGCGUGAUGGGAUGACAUGUCUAAAAACGAUGGGUCUGGGGAAUCCAACAUGAAGAUAAGCAAGUGUAUGAGCGAUAUCCAUUGCAAUCUUUAACCUAUGUUUCAAUCGUAAUGGUUCAAAUUGCGGUCGAGGUUGAGGAUUGCCGCAGAGACCAAUACGCUCAGGAAGAGUUCUGUACUCUCCAUAUUCAAAAACUAGAAUGGGAAUUGGAGUCUCUAAGCAGCAUCCAAUUAGCUUUAAAAUAUGCUUGUGAUCCAUUUGUGCUGCAUAUACUAUU
rnacentral:lncRNA from 1 species